CCUACGGGAGGCAGCAGUGAGGAAUAUUGGUCAAUGGGCGCGAGCCUGAACCAGCCAAGUAGCGUGAAGGAUGACUGCCCUACGGGUUGUAAACUUCUUUUAUAAUGGAAUAAAGUGAGGCACGUGUGCCUUUUUGUAUGUACUUUAUGAAUAAGGAUCGGCUAACUCCGUGCCAGCAGCCGCGGUAAUACGGAAGAUCCGCGCGUUAGCCGGAUUUAUUGGGUUUAAAGGGAGCGUAGAUGGGUUGUUAAGUCAGUUGUGAAUGUUUGCGGCUCAACCGUAAAAUUGCAAUUGAUACUGGCAGCCUUGAGUACAGUUGAGGUAGGCGGAAUUCGUGGUGUAGCGGUGAAAUGCUUAGAUAUCACGAAGAAAUCCGAUUGCGAAGGCAGCUUACUAAACUGCCACUGACAUUGAUGCUCGAAAGUGUGGGUAUCAAACAGGAUUAGAUACCCUUGUAGUC
rnacentral:rRNA from 1 species